rnacentral:rRNA from 1 species
GCCUAACACAUGCAAGUCGAACGAGACCUUCGGGUGCUAGUGGCGCACGGGUGCGUGAACGCGUGGGAAUCUGCCCUUGGGUUCGGAAUAACAGUUAGAAAUGACUGCUAAUACCGGAUGAUGACUUCGGUCCAAAGAUUUAUCGCCCAAGGAUGAGCCCGCGUAGGAUUAGGUAGUUGGUGGGGUAAAGGCUCACCAAGCCGACGAUCCUUAGCUGGUCUGAGAGGAUGAUCAGCCACACUGGGACUGAGACACGGCCCAGACUCCUACGGGAGGCAGCAGUGGGGAAUAUUGGACAAUGGGCGAGAGCCUGAUCCAGCAAUGCCGCGUGAGUGAUGAAGGCCUUAGGGUUGUAAAGCUCUUUUACCAGGGAUGAUAAUGACAGUACCUGGAGAAUAAGCUCCGGCUAACUCCGUGCCAGCAGCCGCGGUAAU